rnacentral:tRNA from 1 species
CGGGGCGUAGCGCAGUCUGGCUAGCGCAUCUGGUUUGGGACCAGAGGGUCGGGAGUUCAAAUCUCUCCGCCCCGA